GACUAUGCACAAUUUAUCCUUGUCAGUCUGAUCUAAUUCGAUCUCAGAAGCUAAGCAAAACUGGGCCUGGUUAGUACUUGGAUGGGAGACUAUUGGGAAUACCAGGUGCCACAGUGG
rnacentral:rRNA from 1 species